CUUUCGGCUCCUUACAAUCCACCACGUGUCUUCCAUGCAGCCAUCCCUAGACAACUGGAAGCGGAAUGUAGGGCAACUCAUGUUUCGCACACAUGAAAAGAUGAUGAGGCACUGAAUCCUCUACUUGGAAACCAACCAGGGCCGCCCCUGAGGGACCAGCCUGCCUGGGAGUGUAAGGAACGUCUCUGCAGAUCUCCCCAGGUGCCAAGCAUCUCUCCGGGACCCACUCCUGGACUCACUGACGGAGAGCGAUGAAGUCGAGGGUGAAGCCCAGGGCAGUGGCAAGUGACAAACAGAGCCCAUGGGGCCGAGCGUGCCCUGUGCCUCCACGAGGCGCUCCCUCCUGGACUUGGCAAGGUAGUGGGAACCGGGUGAGUGGCUGCAGGAGGUAAGAGUCAGCGUCCUCAUGGCCCCUCUACUUGGCAUGUGUGAGUGGGUAAGCACAGCGGGUGAGCACAGUGUCAUCCUGCUGGCACCUUCACUGAGGCACGAAGAGUGUCAGCUACUAAGCGGGCAAAGCAGGAAGCUCACGUGGUGGCCACUGGGGCAUUCAGAGCCACCUGGCCUUUCCCAGCAAGCUGGGCCACGCCAGUCGGAUCCAAGUAAACGACAGCACCUGGGCCGGACCUGAGCCGUCCAAGAUCCAAGCCCACCUUUCCCCUGAAAGGUGCCUGCGUGGGACAGAAACAGGUUCACAUAUAUGACAGGUGGACAGGAAGGGAGAAGGGACUCGUGUGGCCACAGGGCCAGGUGGUGAGAAAAGGGAUUAUGUGCUCACCAGUGAGCCCUGUACCCAUCAGAGGACUGAUUGCAGCCAACCAGUCCAUCCUAGUUUGCCAACAGAAGGGACUGAAGCACAGGAUGAACACUGACCAAGGGGCCAAUGCGUACAGUGACCACAGCUGCAAAGGACAGUGUGCUCCGGAGAAACUGGAGGAGAUACAUGGAGACAAACACGAAGGCAUCCACGCCAUGCCUGCAGCUUCCAGGGCCGCAGUGAUGAGGACGCAGCACUUCGCUUUCCCGGGCUGCUGCUCUCAUCCAUCUGCCUGGAUUGGAGAGCAACAUGCACAAAGCCGACUGCCACUGCACUGCAACCAGGACAGGGCCGCUCCUCCCUGCAAGCAGCUCUCAGAGCUGCUCAGGCCUGGUCCUGGUCGUGCUGUGAGAUGGCACGCGCACCCUGGGGACCACGGCCAGCCUGAGCCUCAGGCAGCCUCACCCAGCUCUGCGGAACCCACUUUGCCGUUAUUCUCCAGGAGGACCUGCACAUUCCUGUGCUUUAGGAGAAACAGGGAGGACAGGCUUGCCAUGCCUAGAAAUCUUCCCAAGGCUUUGCAGCCCGCCGGAAUCGUGCCAGCGGUAAACUAAUCAGCUUGGAAGUUCCCGAUUCCUGUCCUGAGCAUCUUUAUUCAGACAGAAACGGUUUAAGUGGACACUUAGCGUAAACUCAUAAAGCAAAUAAAGUCCAUGAAAUGCAACAAGUGAUGGGCAUGGGUGGGGAGCAGGGUGGGCAGCCGUGCCCUGCUUAGUGAGCAAGGCCUGGGGGAGCCAGGAGCCUGGAGGCCCUGGCAGAAACGGACAGCGGGGUGGGCGUGUGGCCUGGUCGGCCCCCAGGUGCAGGCGCAGGCGCAGGAGCAGGCGCAGGAGCAGGAAGGCAACGACCAGGGCUGCGUCAGCUUUGCCACCCAUGGCCACAGCAGAGGGGCCAGCAGAUGAAGCCCGGAAACCCCAGCAGAGGAACUCCCCUCGGACUGCUGAUGCCCCCUGCCCCGGCCUCCUCUAAAGUCUUGAUGCUUGUUCUUCAGUUCUACGGCUUAUAUUAAGUUCUCCUAACACAGUCAUCCGCAUAGUGUGUAUAUAGGGGGCAUGGACUCAUAAAUAUCUAUAAG
rnacentral:lncRNA from 1 species